UACGUAGGGGCCUAGCGUUGUCCGGAAUUAUUGGGCGUAAAGAGCUCGUAGGCGGUUCGGCAAGUCGGAUGUGAAAAUCUCCACGCUUAACGUGGAGGGGCCAUUCGAAACUGCUGUGACUCGAGUCCGGUAGGGGAGUGUGGAAUUCCCGGUGUAGCGGUGAAAUGCGCAGAUAUCAGGAGGAACACCGGUGGCGAAGGCGGGUCUCUGGGCCGUAACUGACGCUGAGGAGCGAAAGCGUGGGGAGCGAACAGG
rnacentral:rRNA from 1 species